rnacentral:rRNA from 1 species
CGGAGGGUGCAAACGUUGCUCGGAAUCAUUGGGCGUAAAGCGCACGUAGGCGGUCCAGCAAGUCGGGUGUGAAAGCCCUCGGCUUAACCGAGGAAGUGCAUUCGAAACUACUGGACUUGAAUACUGGAGAGGAUCGCGGAAUUCCCGGUGUAGAGGUGAAAUUCGUAGAUAUCGGGAGGAACACCAGUGGCGAAGGCGGCGAUCUGGACAGAUAUUGACGCUGAGGUGCGAAAGCGUGGGGGAGCAAACAGGAUU